GCGGCAAUGUAUGGAGUAUAUGUGUGUACAACAUUUACUAUGAGAGUAAAAGUAAUAAUCGACUGCGAGUGAUAGUACUAGAGCCAGAAAUCGCAGCGGCUGCUACCUGCGUGAGAUCAAACCAUUACUUGUUCCUACUGUCGGUGUCAUUUCUAGUUCCACUAACAGAGGAAAAUGAUCUAAAACAAAAAUAAAAUACACCAGUAAAGUCACUUCAAAUACAGAUUUCAUUGACAAGUAAUUUAAGAUCAAUAUAACAUACCAGAUGGUACGUGAGGAUGAGGACAUCCUACCACUUUAUGCUCUUUAAACCACUCUGGACUCAAUGGACCUAAGAGGCCUAAUGGCAGAUGCAAGCUUGAACGAAUGAGUAAAUUCGUUAGGUUUGUCGCAGCCAGAGAUCUUUUGUAAACAUGAUUUGUACGCUAAGUCUUUAAAAUCACGAUGAUCAGCCGCCACACGUCCAGAUGUAAGGAAUUAAAGUCGCCACAAAGUAACAGUUGAACGUUGGAAGAGUCAGGUUUGUGACCGGGUCUGAAUGACUGGCCAGCUUG